ACCUGCUGUGGUGAGUUUUAAAUUAGUUGGUAUUCAAACGUUUGUUUUUGAGGUAGAAUUACUGUCACCUUAUUGACGUCAAAUUGCGAACCUUACUUGCAGCACCUUAAUUGGGGAGGACGACUCAUAAUAAUGGCUGGAACAGAGUGAAUGGAAUGGCACCAAACACAUCACAAACUUAUUUACCAUGUAUUUGAUGCCACUCCAUUCCAGACAUUAUUAUGAGCCGUCCUCCCCUCACCAGCCUCCUGUGAUUUGCAUCUUGUCUAUUCCAGAUCCAAUGGGUGUGCCUGAGUCUUAUCACCUCUCAACUAGUUGUUUCAACCUGGUACACGAUUCUCCUGCUUUGGUCUGGUUUAGUCAUUGCAGGAGUGUGUGAAGGGUUUUGUCCCAGCCCUGCUCUAACACCUGAUUUAAAUCAUCAACAUAACGAAUCACGGCGAUAGGCUAUGAUUUGUAAUCAGGUAUGGGCUGGAACAAAAGCUUAUACACACUCCUGCCAUUCAGACCUAGAGAUGUCCACCCUUUAUAAAUCUUUAUUCUGUACUAUGGGUACAGUUGGGGAGGGAUUCAUUUUGAUGGUAUUGAUAUAUAACGCUCAAGUUGAACUUGAACUUCUAGACAGAUGCCAAGUCAGCGGCUGCUAAGAAGGGAACAUCAGCGGACCAGAAGACUGUCAGAGAUGCAGACCCAAAGACAUUCAAGCAGCACUUUGAGAGCAAGCAUCCCAAGACUCAAAUGGACCAACAGCAGUGGGACACACCAUGACCACGGUUUGAAUGCUGCAACCGAGACGGAACAACGUCGAGAGACACACGCUGAGACCCCGAGUAUGACUGGACAUGCAGUGGUGUAAAAAUACUUUAAAGUACUACUUAAGUCGUUUUUUGGAGUAUCUGUACUUUACUAUUUAU